AAAAAGGCAAACCCUAGAUUUCCGUGUCCAACUUUGACUGUCCGUCUUAUAUGAAAUUUUUUUAUAAUUCGUAUUUUCAUUGUUGUUAGAUGAUAAAACAUGAUUAAUAUUUUAUGCGUGACUUGUCUUUUUAAUUUUUUUCAUAAUUUUUUCAAAUAAGACGGACGGUCAAACGUUGGACACGGAAACCAAGGUUUAUCUUUUU
rnacentral:pre_miRNA from 1 species